rnacentral:lncRNA from 1 species
CCAUCUGGCCCUGAUGAGGUGGGUGUGUGAGGUGGCACCUAGAAACAAGAAGAAAGGCCUGCUGCCACUUGUAUGGUUUCCUGAGGGUUGCCUCAUGUUUUUUGGCUCUCCUGCAGUUACAAAGGGGCACCUGAAGCCAGAUGAGGGCCGGGAAAGGCCUGACACUGUGCACCCCCUUGAACAUAAGGAUGACGGCUAGAACAACCCCCUUGCCUGGAUUCUUGGGCACCACACAGAGUUAGUGAAGGAAAAGAGGAACCUGAAAUAUCUAUUGUGCCUGUGUCUGGCAACAAGAUGCUUUGUCAAAUGGCAUCUGAGCAUGCUGUGAUACAGACGCAUCAGCUUUGAAUUCAAUAGAGAUCACUGACAUGCUUCAGGAAAGCCACUCAACAGAUGGUAAAUUAAAACAACUUCUGUCCCCUAACAAGCUGGGAUGGUUUUGAAUCGCUGGCCUGCGGUUAGAAAAAAAAGUUGUCAAUUAUUCAGACUGAAUUUACAUUUCUUAUUACCACAUACUACAUUCCUGGGCAGAAGCUGAUAGCUCUGAGGUGACCAACGCACAGAACAGCUUCUAGAGCUUGCCUGGGCUGUGAUCAUGAAAAACUAAUCGGUUGUAAUGUUUCUUAUUCAGCUUAAGUUUUUUACACUUUCUUGCUUGUGUUACUAUGUUUUCAGUUUAGAGAACAGUGAAAACUUUUUUUUUUUUU